UAGUGGUUAGAGUGUAGAGGAGGCAGGUAGCCUAGUGGUUAGAGUGUAGAGGAGGCAGGUAGCCUAGUGGUUAGAGUGUAGAGGAGGCAGGUAGCCUAGUGGUUAGAGUGUAGAGGAGGCAGGUAGCCUAGUGGUUAGAGUGUAGAGGAGGCAGGUAGCCUAGUGGUUAGAGUGUAGAGGAGGUAGGUAGCCUAGUGGUUAGAGUGUAGAGGAGGCAGGUAGCCUAGUGGUUAGAGUGUAGAGGAGGCAGGUAGCCUAGUGGUUAGAGUGUAGAGGAGGUAGGUAGCCUAGUGGUUAGAGUGUAGAGGAGGCAGGUAGCCUAGUGGUUAGAGUGUAGAGGAGGUAGGUAGCCUAGUGGUUAGAGUGUAGAGGAGGCAGGUAGCCUAGUGGUUAGAGUGUAGAGGAGGCAGGUAGCCUAGUGGUUAGAGUGUAGAGGAGGCAGGUAGCCUAGUGGUUAGAGUGUAGAGGAGGUAGGUAGCCUAGUGGUUAGAGUGUAGAGGAGGCAGGUAGCCUAGUGGUUAGAGUGUAGAGGAGGCAGGUAGCCUAGUGGUUAGAGUGUAGAGGAGGUAGGUAGCCUAGUGGUUAGAGUGUAGAGGAGGUAGGUAGCCUAGUGGUUAGAGUGUAGAGGAGGCAGGUAGCCUAGUGGUUAGAGUGUAGAGGAGGCAGGUAGCCUAGUGGUUAGAGUGUAGAGGAGGCAGGUAGCCUAGUGGUUAGAGUGUAGAGGAGGCAGGUAGCCUAGUGGUUAGAGUGUAGAGGAGGCAGGUAGCCUAGUGGUUAGAGUGUAGAGGAGGCAGGUAGUCUAGUGGUUAGAGUGUAGAGGAGGCAGGGUAGCCUAGUGGUUAGAGUG